GACGAACGCCGGCGGCGUGCCUAAUACAUGCAAGUUGAGCGCUGAAGGUUGGUACUUGUACCAACUGGAUGAGCAGCGAACGGGUGAGUAACGCGUGGGGAAUCUGCCUUUGAGCGGGGGACAACAUUUGGAAACGAAUGCUAAUACCGCGUAAAAACUUUAAACACAAGUUUUAAGUUUGAAAGAUGCAAUUGCAUCACUCAAAGAUGAUCCCGCGUUGUAUUAGCUAGUUGGUGAGGUAAAGGCUCACCAAGGCGAUGAUACAUAGCCGACCUGAGAGGGUGAUCGGCCACAUUGGGACUGAGACACGGCCCAAACUCCUACGGGAGGCAGCAGUAGGGAAUCUUCGGCAAUGGACGAAAGUCUGACCGAGCAACGCCGCGUGAGUGAAGAAGGUUUUCGGAUCGUAAAACUCUGUUGGUAGAGAAGAACGUUGGUGAGAGUGGAAAGCUCAUCAAGUGACGGUAACUACCCAGAAAGGGACGGCUAACUACGUG
rnacentral:rRNA from 1 species